UACGUAGGGUGCGAGCGUUGUCCGGAAUUACUGGGCGUAAAGAGCUCGUAGGUGGUUUGUCGCGUUGUUCGUGAAAUCCCACGGCUUAACUGUGGGCGUGCGGGCGAUACGGGCAGGCUGGAGUACUGCAGGGGAGACUGGAAUUCCUGGUGUAGCGGUGGAAUGCGCAGAUAUCAGGAGGAACACCGGUGGCGAAGGCGGGUCUCUGGGCAGUAACUGACGCUGAGGAGCGAAAGCGUGGGGAGCGAACAGG
rnacentral:rRNA from 1 species